ACCUCCAUGCUUUAUUGUAGGUAUGCUGUUAUUUGGAUGGUGAGCUGUAUUGGAUUUCUGCCAGACAAAUCGUUUGGUGUUGAGUCCAAAUAAUUCAGAUUUACAAGAUCUGAAGAGC